rnacentral:lncRNA from 10 species
CCAGGACGUGCUGACUCCUGGGGGUGACAGGUUUUGCAGCAGGUGCAGUGGGAGCUAGGCUUGGGCAAGUUGGAAGCGGUGCCUCGGCUGGGUCAGAGCCUCUUCCUCCUGCCGCCCAGCCGGGCCUUCCUGCCCUCCCUGCCCAGCAAGCAGAGCAACGUCAGGUCAGCCCUGGGCUGGGGACAGACAAUAAACAGACCUGCCCAAGGCCCUGCCCUGGUGAGGAUGACAUUCGGGCAGGGUGAGAGACUGUGAUCCAGUGACAGCCACACGCACAGAGGUAUUUACAAAGCAUGCUGAAUGCAAGAAAGGACG